UACGUAGGGUGCGAGCGUUGUCCGGAAUUAUUGGGCGUAAAGAGCGCGUAGGCGGUCCGGUAAGUCGGUUGUGAAAACUGGGGGCUCAACCCUCAGAGGCCGACCGAUACUGCCGGGCUAGAGUCCGGAAGAGGCGAGUGGAAAUUCCACGUGUAGCAGUGAAAUGCGUAGAUAUCAUGAGGAAUACCAGAGGCGAAGGCGGCUACCUGGACAAUUGCUGACGCUCAGGCACGAAAGCGUGGGGAGCAAAAGGG
rnacentral:rRNA from 1 species